AUUUAACAGCUUCAAGGUUUAUUAAGACCAGUACAUUUCUAUGUUUAUUAUAUGUUUAUCUAUGUUUAUUAUACAGCUCCUGACUUCAACUCUCAUUACAAAUUUCUAACUUACUAACUUUAAAUGCAAUUUAGGUUCACUAGUUCAUCAGUAUCUUUACUCAUUCAAUUAACAACAGACACCCACAACCAACAUUCUUAAUAUUCAUGCAAACAAGAUUCCUUCACAGAUCCAUCCAUAUUACAUUAAUUUACAUAUGCAUCAACAUUCAAAUUGUUCAUGCUAACAGCAGCUCACACUAACCCAUAUUAAAUUAAUCCAUUUAUGCAUGAGGAUAAUUAAUAACCCUAACUCUGAUAAAUAAACAACUCAAUUCUCUGAUCUAAACUAACUUGUGUUUACUCAAGUUUCCGCAAUGUAUUAAAUAAUUUUGUUCAGUUUUCAAUUCAGCAAUUUGACAAAUCAUAAAAAAAAAAAAAAAAAAA